AGUGAACGCUGGCGGUAGGCCUAACACAUGCAAGUCGAACGGCAGCACAGUAAGAGCUUGCUCUUACGGGUGGCGAGUGGCGGACGGGUGAGGAAUACAUCGGAAUCUACUUUUUCGUGGGGGAUAACGUAGGGAAACUUACGCUAAUACCGCAUACGACCUACGGGUGAAAGCAGGGGAUCUUCGGACCUUGCGCGAUUGAAUGAGCCGAUGUCGGAUUAGCUAGUUGGCGGGGUAAAGGCCCACCAAGGCGACGAUCCGUAGCUGGUGUGAGAGGAUGAUCAGCCACACUGGAAGUGAGACACGGUCCAGACGCCUACGGGAGGGAGCAGGGGGGAAUAUUGGACAAUGGGCGCAAGCCUGAUCCAGCCAUACCGCGUGGGUGAAGAAGGCCUUCGGGUUGUAAAGCCCUUUUGUUGGGAAAGAAAAGCAGCAGGUUAAUACCCCGCUGUUCUGACGGUACCCAAAGAAUAAGCACCGGCUAACUUCGUG
rnacentral:rRNA from 1 species